CCCCAUCAGGGGAUCGGAGACGGACGGGAUUGGAGCUGAGUCUGACAGAGCAAGAGGACUGUGAGAGACAACGAGAGUCCAAGAAAGAGCUGCAGAAGCAGCAGCAGCAUGAACUGGCGGUGGUGGAGUGGAGAGGCAUAGGGGACGCCCCAGGGAGCACAGCUUCCCCAAACUGA